UACGUAGGGGGCAAGCGUUGUCCGGAUUUAUUGGGCGUAAAGAGCGUGUAGGCGGCCUGACAGGUCUGCUGUGAAAACUCGAGGCUCAACCUCGAGAUGUCGGCGGAAACCGUCUGGCUAGAGUCCGGAAGAGGAGAGUGGAAUUCCUGGUGUAGCGGUGAAAUGCGCAGAUAUCAGGAGGAACACCGGUGGCGAAGGCGGAUCUCUGGGCCGUAACUGACGCUGAGGAGCGAAAGCAUGGGGAGCGAACAGG
rnacentral:rRNA from 1 species